AUUGAACGCUGGCGGCAUGCUUUUCACAUGCAAGUCGAACGGCAGCACGAAAGAGCUUGCUCUUUUGGUGGCGAGUGGCGAACGGGUGAGUAAUGCAUCGGAACGUACCGAGUAAUGGGGGAUAACUGUCCGAAAGGAUAGCUAAUACCGCAUACGCUUUGAGAAGGAAAGUGGGGGCUCUUCGGACCUCACGUUAUUCGAGCGGCCGAUGUCUGAUUAGCUAGUUGGUGGGGUAAAGGCCUACCAAGGCGACGAUCAGUAGCGGGUCUGAGAGGAUGAUCCGCCACACUGGGACUGAGACACGGCCCAGACUCCUACGGGAGGCAGCAGUGGGGAAUUUUGGACAAUGGGCGCAAGCCUGAUCCAGCCAUGCCGCGUGUCUGAAGAAGGCCUUCGGGUUGUAAAGGACUUUUGUUAGGGAAGAAAAGGAUAGUGUUAAUACCAUUAUCUGCUGACGGUACCUAAAGAAUAAGCACCGGCUAACUACGUG
rnacentral:rRNA from 1 species